GUGGGGAAUAUUGGACAAUGGGCGAAAGCCUGAUCCAGCCAUGCCGCGUGUGUGAAGAAGGUCUUCGGAUUGUAAAGCACUUUAAGUUGGGAGGAAGGGCAGUAAGUUAAUACCUUGCUGUUUUGACGUUACCGACAGAAUAAGCACCGGCUAACUUCGUGCCAGCAGCCGCGGUAAUACGAAGGGUGCAAGCGUUAAUCGGAAUUACUGGGCGUAAAGCGCGCGUAGGUGGUUUUGUAAGUUGGAGGUGAAAUCCCCGGGCUCAACCUGGGAACUGCCUCCAAAACUGCAUGACUAGAGUACGGUAGAGGGUAGUGGAAUUGCCUGUGUAGCGGUGAAAUGCGUAGAUAUAGGAAGGAACACCAGUGGCGAAGGCGACUACCUGGACUGAUACUGACACUGAGGUGCGAAAGCGUGGGGAGCAAACAGGAUUAGAAACCCGAGUAGUCC
rnacentral:rRNA from 1 species